AAAAUUCGUGGAUCCUACGAAUGCCAUGCAACAAUUCGACAUACGCUGUGAGAUUUGAGUGAGUCUCAGUGUGAAAUACCAAAAAUGAAUAAGCAAGAGCAAACGCAUCGCAUAUUAGACAGUGCAGCUAGUAAUCUCAAUAAGAAAAUGCGAUUGGACUUCAUGUUAUUUAAAAAUUUAUGUUACAGCAUUUAGUGAAAGUGAAAAAUGUGUGCAGAGUGCGUUAAAAAGCAGUUUGGUUGAACCUGCUAUACAGAUAGGCAUAGCUGCAUGACACUCAACACUACAAUUAUAAUUUGCUGGUGUGUCGUCAAAAACGUAACAUUGUAUUUAUAUAUAAGUACUUAAUUAUAUGUUGUUCCUAAAAAUGUA